UUCUGGCUGGUUCCAGUUCGUACACGGACUCCUUGCUGUCGUUCGAUUCCGGUCACGUGGCUUCGACGUACUGCCUCGUGGAUCGUCAACUCGUUGGUAGCGAGCCGCGUGGCUUGUUUCGAUAUUCCACCUGUUGCUAUGGGCUUUGGUUGCGUUUAGCUGAUCUCGCAUCUGCGUGGUGACUUCAGGAAACUAUUCAGUCAUGUCAAACUGAAGCUUCCAAUAAUCAACACCGGUGAAACAACGUCAUCUCGGUUAUUGACAUCGGAUACAUCGAGCAAUAUGGAACAUUUGAACAAGACUGUAGCUUAUCCGAGUUCCGAGCCACUACAAUUCCAUUUGACAUUAGUCAUACCGGCUGGAAUAUAAUAUAGAAUUCUGGCUGUCUAA